UACGUAGGGACCAAGCGUUGUUCGGAUUUACUGGGCGUAAAGGGCGCGUAGGCGGCAAUUCAAGUCAUCUGUGAAAUCUCCGGGCUUAACCCGGAACGGUCAGAUGAUACUGCUUUGCUAGAGUGCAGAAGGGGCAAUCGGAAUUCUUGGUGUAGCGGUGAAAUGCGUAGAUAUCAAGAGGAACACCUGAGGUGAAGACGGGUUGCUGGGCUGCCACUGACGCUGAGUGCGCGAAAGCCAGGGGAGCAAACGGG
rnacentral:rRNA from 1 species